UUAGCACUUUCACAGGUCCUCCCCUAGGCAGUGGGGCCAGGAUUUGGUAGCUGGUGCUGAAAGAAAAUCCUGAUUGUAUCUUUGCGCUGGGAUUGUACCAGUGGCAGUUGACACUCAAUCGGACAGAG
ensembl:snoRNA